rnacentral:rRNA from 1 species
GACGAACGCUGGCGGCGUGCUUAACACAUGCAAGUCGAACGGAAAGGCCCUGCUUUUGUGGGGUGCUCGAGUGGCGAACGGGUGAGUAACACGUGAGUAACCUGCCCUUGACUUUGGGAUAACUUCAGGAAACUGGGGCUAAUACCGGAUAGGAGCUCCUGCUGCGUGGUGGGGGUUGGAAAGUUUCGGCGGUUGGGGAUGGACUCGCGGCUUAUCAGCUUGUUGGUGGGGUAGUGGCUUACCAAGGCUUUGACGGGUAGCCGGCCUGAGAGGGUGACCGGCCACAUUGGGACUGAGAUACGGCCCAGACUCCUACGGGAGGCAGCAGUGGGGAAUAUUGCACAAUGGGCGGAAGCCUGAUGCAGCAACGCAGCGUGCGGGAUGACGGCCUUCGGGUUGUAAACCGCUUUCGCCUGUGACGAAGCGUGAGUGACGGUAAUGGGUAAAGAAGCACCGGCUAACUACGUG